GGGGAAUAUUGCGCAAUGGGCGGAAGCCUGACGCAGCGACGCCGCGUGAGGGAUGACGGCCUUCGGGUUGUAAACCUCUUUCAGUACCGACGAAGUGAGAAUGACGGUAGGUACAGAAGAAGCGCCGGCUAACUACGUGCCAGCAGCCGCGGUAAGACGUAGGGCGCGAGCGUUGUCCGGAUUUAUUGGGCGUAAAGGGCUCGUAGGCGGCUUGUCGCGUCUGUCGUGAAAGACCAGGGCUCAACUCUGGUUUUGCGGUGGAUACGGGCAGGCUUGAGGCAAGUAGGGGAGAACGGAAUUCCACGUGUAGCGGUGAAAUGCGCAGAUAUGUGGAGGAACACCGGUGGCGAAGGCGGUUCUCUGGGCUUGUUCUGACGCUGAGGAGCGAAAGCGUGGGGAGCGAAC
rnacentral:rRNA from 1 species